rnacentral:rRNA from 1 species
CCUACGGGAGGCAGCAGUGGGGAAUCUUGCGCAAUGGGCGAAAGCCUGACGCAGCAACGCCGCGUGCGGGAAGAAGGCUUUCGGGCUGUAAACCGCUUUCAGCAGGAACGAAAAUGACGGUACCUGCGGAAGAAGGAGCGGCCAACUAUGUGCCAGCAGCCGCGGUGAUACAUAGGCUUCAAGCGUUGUCCGGAUUUAUUGGGCGUAAAGAGUUCGUAGGCGGUCGAGUAAGUCGGGUGUGAAAAUUCUGGGCUCAACCCCGAGAGACGCCACCCGAUACUGCUUGACUUGAGUUCGAUAGGGGAGUGGGGAAUUCCUAGUGUAGCGGUGAAAUGCGCAGAUAUUAGGAGGAACACCGGUGGCGAAGGCGCCACUCUGGAUCGAUACUGACGCUGAGGAACGAAAGCAUGGGUAGCAAACAGGAUUAGGAUACCCUGGUAGUCCAUGCCCGUAAACGGUGGGCACUAGGUGUGGGUUUCUAUUAACGAAAUCCGCGCCGUCGCUAACGCAUUAAGUGCCCCGCCUGGGGAUACGGUCGCAAGCUAAAACUCAAAGAGAGUGGACGUGUUAGAGUAGUUCGACGACGACGACGACGGAGGAGGAG